CCCUGCACUCUGGGACAAGCCCUGGAAACGGGGUCUAAUACCGGAUAUGACCAUCUUGGGCAUCCUUGAUGGUGUAAAGCUCCGGCGGUGCAGGAUGAGCCCGCGGCCUAUCAGCUUGUUGGUGAGGUAAUGGCUCACCAAGGCGACGACGGGUAGCCGGCCUGAGAGGGCGACCGGCCACACUGGGACUGAGACACGGCCCAGACUCCUACGGGAGGCAGCAGUGGGGAAUAUUGCACAAUGGGCGAAAGCCUGAUGCAGCGACGCCGCGUGAGGGAUGACGGCCUUCGGGUUGUAAACCUCUUUCAGCAGGGAAGAAGCGAAAGUGACGGUACCUGCAGAAGAAGCGCCGGCUAACUACGUGCCAGCAGCCGCGGUAAUACGUAGGGCGCGAGCGUUGUCCGGAAUUAUUGGGCGUAAAGAGCUCGUAGGCGGCUUGUCACGUCGGUUGUGAAAGCCCGGGGCUUAACCCCGGGUCUGCAGUCGAUACGGGCAGGCUAGAGUUCGGUAGGGGAGAUCGGAAUUCCUGGUGUAGCGGUGAAAUGCGCAGAUAUCAGGAGGAACACCGGUGGCGAAGGCGGAUCUCUGGGCCGAUACUGACGCUGAGGAGCGAAAGCGUGGGGAGCGAACAGGAUUAGAUACCCUGGUAGUCCACGCCGUAAACGGUGGGCACUAGGUGUGGGCAACAUUCCACGUUGUCCGUGCCGCAGCUAACGCAUUAAGUGCCCC
rnacentral:rRNA from 1 species